GGGCAGGGGGCGGCGUGCUAUACAUGCAAGUCGAACGAACUCUGGUAUUGAUUGGUGCUUGCAUCAUGAUUUACAUUUGAGUGAGUGGCGAACUGGUGAGUAACACGUGGGAAACCUGCCCAGAAGCGGGGGAUAACACCUGGAAACAGAUGCUAAUACCGCAUAACAACUUGGACCGCAUGGUCCGAGUUUGAAAGAUGGCUUCGGCUAUCACUUUUGGAUGGUCCCGCGGCGUAUUAGCUAGAUGGUGGGGUAACGGCUCACCAUGGCAAUGAUACGUAGCCGACCUGAGAGGGUAAUCGGCCACAUUGGGACUGAGACACGGCCCAAACUCCUACGGGAGGCAGCAGUAGGGAAUCUUCCACAAUGGACGAAAGUCUGAUGGAGCAACGCCGCGUGAGUGAAGAAGGGUUUCGGCUCGUAAAACUCUGUUGUUAAAGAAGAACAUAUUCUGAGAGUACUGUCAGGUAUUGACGGUAUUUAACCAGAAAGCACGGCUACUACGUGCCAGCAGCCGCGGUAAUACGUAGGUGGCAAGCGUGUCCGGAUUUAUUGGGCGUAAAGCGAGCGCAGGCGGUUUUUUAAGUCUGAUGUGAAAGCCUUCGGCUCAGCCGAAGAAGUGCAUCGGAAACUGGGAAACUUGAGUGCAGAAGAGGACAGUGGAACUCCAUGUGUAGCGGUGAAAUGCGUAGAUAUAUGGAAGAACACCAGUGGCGAAGGCGGCUGUCUGGUCUGUAACUGACGCUGAGGCUCGAAAGUAUGGGUAGCAAACAGGAUUAGAUACCCUGGUAGUCCAUACCGUAAACGAUGAAUGCUAAGUGUUGGAGGGUUUCCGCCCUUCAGUGCUGCAGCUAACGCAUUAAGCAUUCCGCCUGGGGAGUACGGCCGCAAGGCUGAAACUCAAAGGAAUUGACGGGGGCCCGCACAAGCGGUGGAGCAUGUGGUUUAAUUCGAAGCUACGCGAAGAACCUUACCAGGUCUUGACAUACUAUGCAAAUCUAAGAGAUUAGACGUUCCCUUCGGGGACAUGGAUACAGGUGGUGCAUGGUUGUCGUCAGCUCGUGUCGUGAGAUGUUGGGUUAAGUCCCGCAACGAGCGCAACCCUUAUUAUCAGUUGCCAGCAUUAAGUUGGGCACUCUGGUGAGACUGCCGGUGACAAACCGGAGGAAGGUGGGGAUGACGUCAAAUCAUCAUGCCCCUUAUGACCUGGGCUACACACGUGCUACAAUGGAUGGUACAACGAGUUGCGAACUCGCGAGAGUAAGCUAAUCUCUUAAAGCCAUUCUCAGUUCGGAUUGUAGGCUGCAACUCGCCUACAUGAAGUCGGAAUCGCUAGUAAUCGCGGAUCAGCAUGCCGCGGUGAAUACGUUCCCGGGCCUUGUACACACCGCCCGUCACACCAUGAGAGUUUGUAACACCCAAAGUCGGUGGGGUAACCUUUUAGGAACCAGCCGCCUAAGGUGGGACAGAUGAUUAGGGUGAAGUCGUAACAAGAGCCUAGCCA
rnacentral:rRNA from 2 species